rnacentral:misc_RNA from 1 species
UCCGGUUUGGCACCGGCGGUCCUCCCAGAGUCCUCGGCAUAACCCGGUAGCAACUGGGAGCGGGGGUUGCGCUCGUUGCGGGACUUAACCCAACAUCUCACGACACGAGCUGACGACAGCCAUGCAGCACCUGUCUAGGGACUCCGAAGAGGGGUCCUGGUUUCUCAGAACUUUCCCCUAGAUGUCAAGCCCAGGUAAGGUUCUUCGCGUUGCGUCGAAUUAAACCACAUGCUCCACCGCUUGUGCGGGCCCCCGUCAAUUUCUUUGAGUUUUAAUCUUGCGACCGUACUCCCCAGGCGGCACGUUUAACGCGUUAGCUCCGGCGCAGAAGGGGUCGAAUCCUCCCACACCAAACGUGCACCGUUUACUGCCAGGACUAC